rnacentral:lncRNA from 1 species
CUCAGCGGUGGGAUGGACACGCAGUGCCGGUGGGGGGAGCCUGACACUGUUCUAUUUCUAGUUCUUCCAUUACCUUGAUGUGUGACCUUGUAAAAUCUUCCCUUAAAAAAAGUAUCUCUGUGGCUGAUUUCUUCUUCAUCUUGAAAGUACAGGUGGUAGUCAUGAAUAUUUGUUUCCUGCAGGUUGGUUUUGUAAACCUCUUCUCGAAGGAAAAGUACACACAGCUGUGGAGUAUUGUUCUUAUUAAUAACUUCAUCUUGGCAUGCACUCGCCGGCUUCUAAGUCUUUAUAUUAAUAUUCUACUGCAGAAAAUAUGCCACAAUAGCAACCUGUCUGAUUUCUCUGUCUUCUGUUUUAGAAGCUGACCUAUACACUAAAUAGUUGUCCUAAACAGAACACAUUUUUUUUCUUUUUCCACGUCACUGUCUAACCAUGGCAUCUGGUGGAUCCUUGCAGUCCAGCUGUCUGUUGCCAGUUGUGUUGGUCAUCUUGGGGCUGCCAUGACAAAGGACCAUAGACUGUGUGGGUCAACCCACAGGAACUGAUUUCUCACUGUUCUGGAGGCUGAAGUCUGGGAUCAGGCACCAGCAUGGCCACUUCCUGGUGAGGACUCCCUUCCUGGCUUGUAGAUAGCUGCUUUCUGAUUGUAUCCUCACAGGGGGAAGGUGGUGGGGUUGGGGAGACGGAGAGAGGUCAGGGCUUCCACAGCUACCAUCACACUGGGGGUCAGGGCUUCCACAGGUACCAUCACACUGGGGGUCAGGGCUACCACAGAUACCAUCACACCGGGGCCAGGGCUUCCACAGAUACCAUCACACCGGGGUCAGGGCUUCCACAGAUACCUUCACACCGGGGUCAGGGCUUCCACAGGUACCAUCACACUGG